rnacentral:rRNA from 1 species
GACAGAGGGUGCUAGCGUUGUUCGGAAUUACUGGGCGUAAAGGGCGCGUAGGCGGUCUGUUAAGUUCGGUGUGAAAUCCCCUGGCUCAACUGGGGAACUGCGCUGAAAACUGGCGGACUCGAGUACCGGAGAGGAGAGUGGAAUUCCUGGUGUAGCGGUGAAAUGCGUAGAUAUCAGGAGGAACACCGGUGGCGAAGGCGGCUCUCUGGACGGAUACUGACGCUGAGGCGCGAAAAGCGUGGGGGAGUCAAACAGGAAU